rnacentral:rRNA from 1 species
UAAUACGGAGGGUCCGAGCGUUGUCCGGAAUUAUUGGGUUUAAAGGGUGCGUAGGCUGUAUGAUCAGUCAGGGGUGAAAUCUCAAGGCUUAACCUUGAAACUGCCUUUGAUACUGUCAUACUUGAAUAUACUAGGGGUAAGCGGAAUUUAUGAUGUAGCGGUGAAAUGCAUAGAUAUCAUAAAGAACACCGAUAGCGAAGGCAGCUUACUGGAGUAUUAUUGACGCUGAGGCACGAAAGCGUGGGUAGCGAACGGGAUUAGAUACCCCGGUAGUCCACGCCGUAAACGAUGUUCACUCGCUGUGUGCGAUACACUGUACGCGGCCAAGCGAAAGCAUUAAGUGAACCACCUGGGGAGUACGUUCGCAAGGAUG